rnacentral:misc_RNA from 1 species
CUUUCAUUAACAAGUGUCAGGUUGAGAAAAAGGUUUAUGUGGAACUAAAUGUUGGUGAUAUCAUUCGAUUUGGCCUUUCAUCUCGAUUGUACAUAUUCCAAGGGCCAUCUGAAUUGAUGCUCCCGGAAAAAGACUUGAAGCUUCUUAGAGAAGCUAAGUUCCGGCAAGAGAUGCUUGAUCGAGAAGCUUCACUUCGACGAGCAAGAGCAGAAGCAUCUGUUGCAGAUGGUAUCUCAUGGGGCAUGGGAGAAGAUGCUGUUGAAGAAGAUGAGGAUGAUGGCGAUGAAAUUACUUGGCAAACCUACAAAGGACAACUUACAGAGAAGCAGGAGAAAACCCGUGAUAAAAUAAUCAAACGAACUGAAAAGAUUGCUCAUAUGAAGAAAGAAAUAGAUGCUAUUCGUGCUAAAGAUAUUGCUCAAGGUGGGUUGACACAAGGGCAGCAAACUCAGAUUGCUCGGAAUGAACAAAGAAUGACACAGAUCUUGGAAGAACUGGAAAACUUGGAAGAAACAUUAAAUGAAAGUAUCCAGGAAAGUAUUGGCGCACGUGCUGGAAGGAAAUCUAGCAGCAUGAAAAAAGGAACAGCAGAAGAUGAUGAGGAUUUUUUGAGUGAUGAUGAUGAAUUCUAUGACCGUACAAAGAAGCAUUCAAUACAAAAGUCAAAUGAAAAUCAAUCAAUUGAAACUGCUGAUAGUCUUCUUGACAAGAGAGACGACAUCAUGAAAGAAAUGGAAGACAAAAAGGAGUUGCUUUUGAUUGAGAAGAAUAAAACAGCAUUUGAAACUGCAGCAGAAACUGAAGCUGGAGACACACUCGAUGCUUACAUGUCGGGACUGUCGUCUCAACUAGGGCUUGAUAAAACUGUACAAAUUGAAAAAGAAUUGUCUGCUCUCCAAUCUGAACUGGAUAGGAUCUUCUUUCUCUUGAAAAUUGCCGACCCAUCUGGAGAGGCUGCUAAGAAAAGGGAUUCAAGAGUACAAGGACAGAAACCUGAUAAUUAUAAAGCUGAAGCACCUGCUGCUGCUACCAAAAAGCAAUCUACCGUGGAACCAAAGAAAAGCAGUGGGGUGGGAAAACCAAUAGAUGCCUCGAAGAAGAAAGACACAACUCCAGAUUCCAUGGUCGCUACCAUGGAGUCAGACAAUAAGCCAGAAGCUGACAAGGUUGUUGAUGCACCUGAGGUUAAACCUGCUGUUUACACUGUUGUAAAGCCUCAGUGGCUUGGUGCAGUGAAUGAUACAGAAGUGAAAGAGACGAAACAAGAAGUGUUGAAUAUAGAUGAGGCUUACCAAUUCGUGGAUUAUAAAGACAGGCAAAAGAUCUUGCUUAAUGUGGAUGGUGCACAGGAUAAGAUGGAUUCAGGCAUUGAAAGUGCUGCUCCUGGGUUGAUAAUAAGGAAGCAGAAGGAAACUGAGGGACCUGGAACCAAUGAUAACAAAGCUACUGAACAGUCCAUGGCAUCCACCAUAGAAGCCAAGCUCACAGCAGAAGAUGCUGUGGCAUUGUUACUGAAGCAUAAGAGAGGAUAUCAUGCAGAAGAUGAGGUUGGAGGACAUGAAAGCCGGGAAGUAGGCCAAAGUCAACAUAAUAAGGAUAACAAAAGACCAAAAAGAGUGCUUGGCCCUGAGAAACCAUCAUUUCUCAACGGCAAUUCA